AAACUAUAUUUAUUAUAUCUUACAGUAUAAACUAUGUCUGUUUUAUUAUAUCCAUAUUAUUUUCUAACUCCUGGCACAAAAAUUUCAAUUUAGGCACAAGAUCUGAGAAGAUGGUUUAGGGACAAAGGGGUAAAGAUGAUUCCUUUGUGGAUUUCAUCAAAGCAUGUUUCAAAAGUAUUGUGCUAUUGGGCUGUUAUUUAUCUGUUUUUGAGGCGGAGUCACUCUGUUGCCCAGGCUGGAGUGCAGGGGCCUGACCUGGGCUCACUGCAGCCUCCACCUCCCAGGUUCAAGCGAUUCUCCUGCCUCAGCCUCCCAAGUAGCCGGGAUUACAGGCACGCACCACCACAUCUGGCUAAUUUUUGUAUUUUUAGUAGAGACAGGGUUUCACUUUGUUGGCCAGGCUGGUCUCAAACUCUUGACAUCAGGUGAUCCGCCCGCCUUGGCCUCCCAAAGUGUUGGGAUUACAGGCGUAAGCCACUGUGCCUGGCCAGGCUGUUAUUUUUGGAAGCAUGAUAGUUAUAUAGGCCUAAAGUUGUAUGUAAGUAAGUAGAAUAUGUAUUUUAAUUUAGCGGUUAACAGAUUUAAUUUCAUUACCUAUUAAUGGAAUGUAGAAUGUUCUCAAUAGUUAUUUUGGCUUCAAGUUGGCUUUCUGCCUUCAUGAUCUCUGCUAGAUUUAACUGGCCUAAAACCAGCUAGAAAAGACUACAUUACAGUUCUAAUUUAUUGGUUUCAAAUCCGAGCUUUUAUAAAGGUCUAUUUUAUGGACAAAUAAUGUCCAUCAAAAUAAACUAUUUAAAGCCUGGUAAACUUUUUUUUUUUGAGAUAAGGUCUCAUUCUGUCACACAGGCUGGAGUACAAAUGCUGCCAUCACUGUUCACUGCAGCCUUGACUCCCUGAGCUCAAGCGAUCCUCCCACCUCAACGUCCCACGUAGCUAGGACUAUAGGUAUGCCACCAUGCCCAGCUAAUUUUUGUAUUUUUUGUAGAGACCCAGGUCUCACUAUGUUGCCCAGGCUGGUCUUGAACUCCUGGGCUCAAGUGAUCCCCCUGCUUAGGCCUCCCAAAGUGCUGGGAUUACAGGCCUGAGCCACUGCACCUGACCUAAACAUCUUGCUCUCAGCAUUUUUAUUAGUCUGCCUUUAGACUUCAUCAUUAUAAAGAGAUUCCCUUUUGAUUUCUGUUAGAAACAGCUUAGUUAGGAAGUAAAUAUUGGUAGAUUCAUUCUUGGUUACCAAAUUCUAUUUGC
rnacentral:lncRNA from 10 species